rnacentral:lncRNA from 1 species
UAGUGGCAGAUUCAAGAGGUAUAAUGCUCAUCCAAUGAACUUUCUGGAAAACUGACCGAAUGUAUAUUGGAUCGCUACGCUUGGAGAUUAGGACAAAAGGUCAUCAUCAGAAAAGCUAAGUUUGCUAUACAGUAAGGAUCAGGAGAUCUGACCCUGGUUGCAGAACCAUUCCUGGUUGCAGAAUACAGGGUAAGUGCCUUCCUUCUGGCCUCGUUUCACAAACCAGCUACAUCACAUAACAUUUUUAGAUGUGUAGGAAUAUUUUGAAGAUUAAUAAGCUGCCAUCUGAGAAAGUAUGCUAUAUUCUGAAAGGGGAAGAAUAAACAAUAUAGGCAUGUGUAAUCCUAGUCUCUUCAUUAAAAAUUAG